AUGAACGCUGGCGGCGUGCUUCACCCCUGCAAGUCGAACGGUGAAGCAGAGCUUGCUCUGUGGAUCAGUGGCGAACGGGUGAGUAACACGUGAGCAACCUGCCCCUGACUCUGGGAUAAGCGCUGGAAACGGCGUCUAAUACUGGAUAUGAGCUGCGACCGCAUGGUCAGCAGUUGGAAAGAUUUUUCGGUCUGGGAUGGGCUCACGGCCUAUCAGCUUGUUGGUGAGGUAAUGGCUCACCAAGGCGUCGACGGGUAGCCGGCCUGAGAGGGUGACCGGCCACACUGGGACUGAGACACGGCCCAGACUCCUACGGGAGGCAGCAGUGGGGAAUAUUGCACAAUGGGCGAAAGCCUGAUGCAGCAACGCCGCGUGAGGGAUGACGGCCUUCGGGUUGUAAACCUCUUUUAGCAGGGAAGAAGCGAAAGUGACGGUACCUGCAGAAAAAGCGCCGGCUAACUACGUG
rnacentral:rRNA from 1 species